rnacentral:rRNA from 1 species
AUAAGGGCGCACGGUGGAUGCCUUGGCACUAGGAGCCGAUGAAGGACGGGACUAACACCGAUAUGCUUUGGGGAGCUGUACGUAAGCUAUGAUCCAGAGAUUUCCGAAUGGGGGAACCCAGCAUCUUUAAUAGGAUGUUACGAUUGUGUGAAUACAUAGCACAUUCGAGGUAGACGCAGAGAACUGAAACAUCUAAGUACCUGCAGGAAGAGAAAGAAAAUUCGAUUCCCUGAGUAGCGGCGAGCGAAACGGGAAAAGCCCAAACCAACAAGCUUGCUUGUUGGGGUUGUAGGACUCCAAUAUGGUCGUUCUUUCAGAUAGUCGAAUGACUUGGAAAAGUCAGUCAAAGAGGGUAAAAACCCCGUAGACGAAAUGUGGAAGACACCUAGGAGGAUCCUGAGUACGGCGGAACACGAGAAAUUCCGUCGGAAUCCGGGAGGACCAUCUCCCAAGGCUAAAUACUCCCUAGUGACCGAUAGUGAACCAGUACCGUGAGGGAAAGGUGAAAAGCACCCCGGAAGGGGAGUGAAAUAGAACCUGAAACCGUGUGCCUACAACAAGUCAAAGCCCGUUAAUGGGUGAUGGCGUGCCUUUUGUAGAAUGAACCGGCGAGUUACGAUUGCAUGCGAGGUUAAGUUGAAGAGACGGAGCCGCAGCGAAAGCGAGUCUGAAUAGGGCGUUUGAGUAUGUAGUCGUAGACCCGAAACCAUGUGAUCUACCCAUGUCCAGGUUGAAGGUGCGGUAAAACGCACUGGAGGACCGAACCCACGUACGUUGAAAAGUGCGGGGAUGAGGUGUGGGUAGCGGAGAAAUUCCAAACGAACUUGGAGAUAGCUGGUUCUCUCCGAAAUAGCUUUAGGGCUAGCCUCGGAAUUGAGAAUGAUGGAGGUAGAGCACUGUUUGGACUAGGGGCCCAUCUCGGGUUACCGAAUUCAGAUAAACUCCGAAUGCCAUUCAUUCAUAUCCGGGAGUCAGACUGUGAGUGAUAAGAUCCAUAGUCGAAAGGGAAACAGCCCAGACCACCAGCUAAGGUCCCAAAAUAUAUGUUAAGUGGAAAAGGAUGUGGGGUUGCACAGACAACUAGGAUGUUGGCUUAGAAGCAGCCACCAUUUAAAGAGUGCGUAAUAGCUCACUAGUCGAGUGACCCUGCGCCGAAAAUGUACCGGGGCUAAACAUAUUACCGAAGCUGUGGAGUACACCUUUAGGUGUAUUGGUAGGAGAGCGUUCUAAGGGCGUCGAAGGCAGAUCGUGAGGACUGCUGGAGCGCUUAGAAGUGAGAAUGCCGGUAUGAGUAGCGAAAGACAGGUGAGAAUCCUGUCCACCGAAUGACUAAGGUUUCCUGGGGAAGGCUCGUCCGCCCAGGGUUAGUCGGGACCUAAGCCGAGGCCGAUAGGCGUAGGCGAUGGAUAACAGGUUGAUAUUCCUGUACCCGUUGUUUUUGUUUGAGCAAUGGAGGGACGCAGGAGGCUAAGGAAU